rnacentral:rRNA from 1 species
GACGAACGCUGGCGGCGUGCCUAAUACAUGCAAGUAGAACGCUGAAGGAGGAGCUUGCUCUUCUGGAUGAGUUGCGAACGGGUGAGUAACGCGUAGGUAACCUGCCUGGUAGCGGGGGAUAACUAUUGGAAACGAUAGCUAAUACCGCAUAAGAGUAGAUGUUGCAUGACAUUUGCUUAAAAGGUGCAAUUGCAUCACUACCAGAUGGACCUGCGUUGUAUUAGCUAGUUGGGGGGGUAACGGCUCACCAAGGCGACGAUACAUAGCCGACCUGAGAGGGGGAUCGGCCACACUGGGACUGAGACACGGCCCAGACUCCUACGGGAGGCAGCAGUAGGGAAUCUUCGGCAAUGGACGGAAGUCUGACCGAGCAACGCCGCGUGAGUGAAGAAGGUUUUCGGAUCGUAAAGCUCUGUUGUAAGAGAAGAACGAGUGUGAGAGUGGAAAGUUCACACUGUGACGGUAUCUUACCAGAAAGGGACGGCUAACUACGUG